ensembl:lncRNA
AAAAAAGUUGGGACAGUAAUUGAAAAUGCAAAAAAAAAAAAAAAGGUUCAAAUUCAGUUCAACCUGUACUAUAAUGAAAACACAUUAUUAAGACAUUAUUUAUGUUUUACUUUGUGAAUGCUGGCUUUUGAACCUGACGCUGAUAACAGCUUGGAUGGGUCCUUUUCCAUUUUGGCCCGUUGAACACGACGGCUGUUUUGUCCAAAAACUAUUUGAAAUGUCGAUUCGUCGGACCACAAAACACGAUUCCACUGUGCUACUGUCCACCUCAGAUGAGACCGAGCCCAGAGGAAUGGGCGGUACUUCUGGACAGUGUUGAUGUAUGACUUCUGCUUUGAAUAUUAAAGCCUUAACUUGCAUCUGUGGAUGCAGUGGCGAAUGGUGUUGACUGACAAAGGUUUACAAAAGUAUUCCCGAGCCCAUGUCAGGAUAUCCAUUACAGACUCAUGACGGUUUUUAAGACAGUGACGUCCGAGGGAUCGGAGAUCACGUGCAUUCAGAAGUGGUUUUCUUGCCCUUUACACACCGAGAUUUGGCCGGAUUCCUUGAAUCUUUUAAUUAUAUUGUGCACUGUAGAAGGUGAAAAGCCCAAAAUCCUACCGAUUUGUCUUUGGGGAAUGUUGUUCUCAAAGUGUUGGAUUAUUCGCCGACUGAUCUGUUGGCAGAUUGGCGAGCCUCGACCCAUCCUUGCUCUUAAAGGACUAGGCCUUUUUUAGAGGCUCCUUAUAUACUAUGAUUAGAUGAUUACCUCACCUGUUUCAUAUCACCUUCUUAUUUCAACUCGUCACAUCGCUAUUAGUCCUAAAUUGCCCCGUCACAACUUUUUUUGGUUGCAUGCAACGUGUUGCAUGCAUCAAUUUCAAAAUCAGCGUGAAAAACUGUGCAGUUGAUCAGGUCAAACAUCAAAUACCUCGUCUUUAUAUGUUUUUUUGUUUAAAUACAAGUCAAAGUACAUUUACAAAUCCCUCCUCUUUGUUUUUAUUAGCGUUUUCCAUCCUGUCCCAACUUUUUCCGAAUUGGGGUUGUAUAUUACUAAUUGUUGUGUUACUGGAUAUUUCUUAAUGAUGGACCUUUUUUUUUUGUUUUUAUUAGAUUUUUUUGUAACCCUAUGCCUGUAAAUUCUAUGCAACAGAAAACAAAUGUAAUUGUAAAAACACGUGUGAACUACUUGCCCUGAGGUAACACAAUCAUUGAGAGAAACUGUCAAUCAUCGGUUGCUAUACUGUUGAAUGCAAGGACGGGCUACACUUCUCCUGCUGUUCGAUAUCUCAUUAAGCAUACAAUCGACUUCAGCUUCAACACGCACUGCACAACCAUGUGCCAUGUACCAUAUACUGUAUUUACCGGAAGGCUGAAUUUCAACAUCCUUCCUGUUUGGCAUACUGUACAGUACACAGACCUGGAUCAAUAGUGUUUACUACUGCACUUUACAUCAAAAUACCACUUUCACCCAAGAGUCAGUUCAGUCACACGCUCUCGUGGAGUUAUUAUGCUGAGUCAUGCCAAUUAAUCACACACACUAGACUUCCUUUUUGAUAGUCAAGCUUUAAUAAACAUUGAAAAUCUUUGUACAUUUUGAAAAAUUUAACACUAAGAAACCAAGCAGCACAAAAAUAAUCAUCCCACAAGACUAAUCAGCUAUCAGGCAAAAUACAAGCAAUAGUAAAUACUAUAGUAAAUAGGAAGCAAUAGAGUGACUGAAUGUCAUUAUUGAUGUGGGAAAGAAGAGAUGUGUGUGUGUGUGUGUGUGUGUGUGUGCGCGCGCCAGCCCUCACUGGGAUUUAUUGUCUAUGCAAGCGUUCUUUACAGAAACAGAUGUGUGUAUGUGCUAAGAGUUGUCUGAAUAAUAAAAAGAGAAAGAUUCCACUGAGCUGCCCGUCAUCUCCUCAUCGAAUGCGCAGCACCUGAUAAAUCAGUUAAACGACUUACUUUACAUUUACAACCGUUAAGAGUAAAUGGCAGACUGCACCGCAAAACUCUCAACACUUUCUAAAUUCUAGAUCGCAAUUUCAGUGAAGCGUUAAAUGAUAGCACUUUUGUUUCACGAUUUUAUUUGUCUGCCUUUCUCUAAUAAAGCUCGCAUCUGCAUUUGCAUCCGUCCUUAACCUCCGUCACGUGAUUUACGUGGCAGCUGAACUUUACCGUAUUAGUCUAAUAUUACAUUAACAUUAAAAUCAUGAUAAGAGAUUAAAAUGUUUACCGAUACUUAAUUAUAGAACACAAACAGAUCCUUUCCUGCAAGUCAGUCCUGUCACACAAAACAUUACGAUAUAAAAAUGUAUUAUUUGAGAAAAUAUUGAUGAAGGAAUCUUUUUAACUGUGCAGAUGAAGGUGGGGGCAUGUACCCACCAUUACGUGUGUGUAAAAUCUCCUGUGUAAAGUUAGUUUAUAUAUAUGAGUAUAUAUGAGUGUCUAUGUAUAUUAUAUAUAGAGAGAGUGCUUGGCGUUUAUUCUGUGCUUUCCAUCCACUAUAUUUGACCAGAAAGUUGCUAAUAUUUCUCAUAGAAUUUAGAAUACCAUGUUAGAUACAAUCAGGGACAUGUGACCAAAAAGAAGAAAACUCAUUAGGAAACUAUUCUAACAUAUACAAAUUUGUCUGUGAUGGGCCUGACAAUUUAAGUGUGAAAUACAUAUAGCAAUGUGUUUUAUUCACGCAAAAAAAUCAUGCUGCGAUGGCAUGAUGUGUUUCGCAUAGUUUAACAUGUCUUCCAUGUGACUCAAUGUUCAGAUUCAAGAAUUCAGGGGGGUGUUUUUCCCCUCAAGAUUUUUAGAAGUGGAAUUGAAUACUUUCUUCAGACAAGUAAGGAAAUAUGUGAUUAUUAUUAUUAUUAUUAUUAUUAUUAUUAUUAUUAUUAUUAUUAUUAUUAUUAUUAUUAUAGCUGUGCUUUCCCUAAUUGUUACGCCACGGCCAGCAGAGGGCACUGCGGUACGGCCGCUGACUGGUCACGUGACUCUUUGUUUUCGUUCACUUCCCGCUUGGACACUGACUUAAGUCUUUGAUUUGCCCCAGGUGUUAAUGUUUUAGUUUAAUUAGGUUUGUUAUUUAAACCCCCCC